GCAGAGUGACCAGAAGUCCCACCUAGGGGGUGGGCCCACAGAGGCCAUUGGCUAUUUAAGGAUGAGCAGGAGAUGAGCAUGCCUUCAUCCUCCCCACUACUGGAGUGUGUAUCUGAUCCAUGCUGGAACCCAGGAUUUGGUAAAUAUAUGUGUGUGUUUCUUAUCUUUUCUCUUCUUGUUCUUGAAAUGUUCCUUUUCUUGGAACAUUUUGGGUAGCUUAACAUCAAACAGGUUUAAAGUUUGCUAAAUCAAGUGGGCCAGAUUAAUACUGUGAGAAGUGUUUUAUGUUGACUGGAUGUUGUAUUAAAUCUUUUACCAAGGUUCCUUGGUUUUCUGUAUUUUGCCAGUAAAGUAAUUUUGAUCUCUUGAGACUAUCUGGUCUAUUUAACCAUGAGUACAAGGACCUUUGUAAACCCCUUGUGUUUAAAUGUUGGGGCCUUACAGUGUGAAAUAGCCCUUUGGUUAGCUGGGGUGCCUGUCCUCGUUGUGUCUCCUCCCAGCUUCCUUUUCCAAUAGGGCAGUAUAAAAAGCAGAAAAGUCCUUAACUCUGUAAACACUCAGCAAGAACAAAAACACCUCUAUGCUGUCAGCCCUGUGUUCAGCACAGAUCCAAAACACAGGCCCAUAUUGUGAAAAAAAACUCUAACAUUAACUCUACCCCAGUCAGAACCAGCACACUUGGUAAAAGAGACAACAGUUGUUUAACUACAAGCUUAACUUUUAAUGGGAAGGCAGAUUUUUCAAAUAUUAGAAAUGCAAACAAGUCCUUUGGUCUUGGACAAUUUGGUCUUUUCUCAUUAUCCCCUCCAAUAUGAUCCCCUGUUUGAUUUUGGUACUGUCAGAAAUCUUCCUCACCUUUGUUUAUCUAGAAUUUCAAAGCACUCUGGACCAGUCUUCUCCAUGUUCAACUCCAGGUGAACACCUUCUUUUCACCAUCACAAUCAACAGGGAUUAGAAGACUCCUGUAGUCAAAACAGUUGCUGAGUACAUGGAAAAAUCUUGAUGCUGUACCCCAUGUUAACUACAAAGGCCACUGGAUACUGGUGAGCUGGCCACUUAUAAAUCGCUUCCUGCAGACUAAAUUAGCUGUGGCUCUUCUGGAAGUCAGUAAAUUUACCAUGGGCCAAAAAUGUCUCAUCAAAGACUUCUUUCACAAACCAGCAGCAUGUCUAAUUUUGUCAUAUAGGUCUAGAAGAGAUGCUCUUCUCCAAGAACCUAAAUGACAUGUAAGGAAGUAUUUCUGUAGCCAUUGGGGUUGGAAUUAGAUGAUCUUGAAGGUCCCUUCCAACCUGGGCAUGGGGGACAGAGAACUACCUCACCAGAGCAAAGCCUGACCUGUGCCCUACCACACAUUCCAAACCCCCAAGAUGUCUCAAAACAGGCUCUCUUUUUCCAGUCCCUGACACUGUUUUCCCAUUUUAUCUUGGCCUCAGGAAUAAGUGCAGUGCAUUUUUUUUAUCCCUUCCCUUGAAUCUGUGUGAAUCCCAUGUUUCAGAGUCAUCAAAGUAUCAUAACACGUUGAUCUGUAAGGAUAACAUCACGUGAGCUAUGUGGCCUGUAACAGAAGCUUUAAAUAUGAACUAUGAUAAAAAGCAGUAUUUGUCUCAUUUUCUUGGAAACACUUCCAACUUUUUAAAUGUGACAAUGGUAUAAUGAUGUAGUUGAGAAUGGUGAUACCCUGAUCCCAUCCCUUGCAAAAUGCUGUAAUUCUCCAGGCACAUGCUUUUUAUGCCUCAUUGGCAUGUCUUGGAUAUGUCCUGGCCACCAGGGUAUAGUAGACACUGCUGGACCUAGUGAAAACUUGGGUAAAAAAAAUCAUUUUUCAUUGAAUAAUAAAGAUUUUUCUGAUUGCAAAACCUAUAAUCAAAUGUGCUCCCUACCCUAAGUAUCUUGCAGAACAAAAGCAGUUUUUAAUUAUUUUAUACUAAGUGAGGCACAAAACCUGAUUGAAGAUGCUUUAUUUCAUCUUUUUUACCCUCAUUAUCAAGUGGAAAAUUCUAAACGCCAUAUUUCUGGUUUGCAAUAGAUACAAAAGUUUGUCACAAGAUAUUCCAGACAGGGCCUAUUCAGUGCAAGGUGUAGGAUGUGUUUUAAAUUAAUGCUGGAGCAAAGUACCCGGAACUUGAGCCCUAAGAUGAGAUUAAUUUGGCUGGUUAUUUGAAAUGAGUUUGUUACAAAAAAAAUGUACGCAGGUGUAAAGAGAACAUUUGAGAGAUGGUUUGCAUUAUUUAGACUAAAAGGUACAAUGUGAAAAAUAUUUUUUGAU